GACAGAGGGGGCAAGCGUUGCUCGGAAUUACUGGGCGUAAAGGGCGCGUAGGCGGGAUGGCAAGUCGGUCGUGAAAUCCCUCGGCUCAACCGAGGAACGUCGAUCGAUACUGCUGUUCUUGAGGAUUGCAGAGGAGGCUGGAAUUCCCGGUGUAGCGGUGAAAUGUGUAGAGAUCGGGAGGAACACCGGUGGCGAAGGCGGGUCUCUGGGCAAUUCCUGACGCUGAGGCGCGAAAGCGUGGGGAGCAAACGGG
rnacentral:rRNA from 1 species